UUUAUAUGAGAGUUUGAUCCUGGCUCAGGAUGAACGCCGGCGGUGUGCCUAAUACAUGCAAGUCGUACGCACUGGCCCAACUGAUUGAUGGUGCUUGCACCGGAUUGACGAUGGAUCACCAGUGAGUGGCGGACGGGUGAGUAACACGUAGGUAACCUGCCCCGGAGCGGGGGAUAACAUUUGGAAACAGAUGCUAAUACCGCAUAACAACAAAAUCCACAUGGCUUUUGUUUGAAAGAUGGCUUUGGCUAUCACUCUGGGAUGGACCUGCGGUGCAUUAGCUAGUUGGUAAGGUAACGGCUUACCAAGGCGAUGAUGCAUAGCCGAGUUGAGAGACUGAUCGGCCACAAUGGAACUGAGACACGGUCCAUACUCCUACGGGAGGCAGCAGUAGGGAAUCUUCCACAAUGGGCGCAAGCCUGAUGGAGCAACACCGCGUGAGUGAAGAAGGGUUUCGGCUCGUAAAGCUCUGUUGUUGGAGAAGAACGUGCGUGAGAGUAACUGUUCAUGCAGUGACGGUAUCCAACCAGAAAGUCACGGCUAACUACGUGCCAGCAGCCGCGGUAAUACGUAGGUGGCAAGCGUUAUCCGGAUUUAUUGGGCGUAAAGCGAGCGCAGGCGGUUGCUU
rnacentral:rRNA from 2 species